UAGGGAAUAUUGGUAAUCUGGGAAACCGGGAACCAGCAACGCCGCGUGCGCGAUGAAGGCCUUCGGGUUGUAAAGCGCUUUUUGAGAGGAUGAGGAAGGACAGUAUCCUCUGAAUAAGCCUCGGCGAACUACGUGCCAGCAGCCGCGGUAACACGUAGGAGGCAAACGUUAUCCGGAUUUACUGGGCGUAAAGCGCGUGUAGGUGGUUCUGUAAGUAGGGCGUGAAAGCUCCUGGCUCAACUGGGAGAGGCCGUUCUAAACUACAGAACUAGAGGAUGGUAGAGGGAGGUGGAAUUCCAGGUGUAGCGGUGGAAUGCGCAGAUAUCUGGAGGAACACCAGUGGCGAAGGCGGCCUCCUGGACCAUUCCUGACACUCAGACGCGAAAGCUAGGGUAGCAAACG
rnacentral:rRNA from 1 species